rnacentral:lncRNA from 1 species
GAAAAUUGAAUUGUUUGAGAUGAACAUUGCACUCUUUGUAAGGUACCGGACUUCGAAAAUCAUGAGGUUACGGUAUACGUUCGAUUGGAAAGCCAUUUAAAUGGUUCCGGUGAGGCUGCGGUGGAAUGUAACAUACCGGAUCUUUAAUAUAAAAGUGAAAAUAAAUAAAAAUAGUGUGAGAUACUAUUUUUAUUGGAUUUAGAGAAGUAAAA